rnacentral:rRNA from 1 species
CCGACGGUGAGAGACGAAAGCUGGGGGCACGAACCGGAUUAGAUACCCGGGUAGUCCCAGCCGUAAACGAUGCUCGCUAGGUGUCAGGCAUGGCGCGACCGUGUCUGGUGCCGCAGGGAAGCCGUGAAGCGAGCCACCUGGGAAGUACGGCCGCAAGGCUGAAACUUAAAGGAAUUGGCGGGGGAGCACAACAACGGGUGGAGCCUGCGGUUUAAUUGGACUCAACGCCGGACAACUCACCGGGGGCGACAGCAAUAUGUAGGCCAAGCUGAAGACUUUGCCUGAAUCGCUGAGAGGAGGUGCAUGGCCGUCGCCAGUUCGUACUG